AAAGGGUCUCUGCAAGGAUACUUCUCAGAUCCACACAGCACAGUAUGCUCCAGGAUGUGUGGGACCCCUGUGCUGUCCAUGGGGGUCGUCCUGAACUGGACACUAAACCACAGGAAACACUGGUAACGCCCAGGGGGAGGGGCCAGGUGCACCUGUGGCUCCUGACAAUCAGCAGUGAUGUUAAAAGCUGAGCCAACCUGAUCAUUUGUGGCCAGUGGACCAGAUCUGCAGCUCAUGUGUAGGGUUGGUUGUUUUGUGUUCUGCUGAAAGCCAGAAGUGUGGCGCUUAAUGGACUUGGUGAUACUGGGACCAGCUUCAUGUGCAAGAAGCUCGCCUUUCUUGUAAAAUAAAUAAUUAUUCUGAUACGUGA